UUUGAGUCUGGAUUUACUCACUCAGCAUAACGCAUUUGAGGUUCAUCCAUGUGGUGGAAGUGGGACAGCUGGAUGACCAUGACAUUGGACCUCCAGUAGUGCUCGUGAAGCGAUGCAUCUUGGAAAGGAGGAUCUGCCUGCGUUCCUGACAUCACCCUUGGGAUUUCUCCUCUGCUCUCCAGGCCUCUGGCUCUCCCUGCUGGUUCUGUGCUGGGUCACCUGCCACUGCUCAGCCUGCAUGCCCUGCAGAAGUUGGCUGGAGCCAGCUGGUGGUGACUUGCCAGAGACUCUGGUUAAAUAGGAAUUUUGCAAGCUGGUUGUUAAACCAUUGGUAGCUUGAAAUCAGCCUUGGUGGGAGUAUUUAUAACCCAGAAAUUGGCAAAUACUACAAAUCAAGUCUUGCCUCCAGCAGCUUACCAGUAGUCCACAGCUUACCUGCUCCUCUUAGUACCAAUGAAAACACCUACAUCACCUCGUUUUAAUAGCGACAAACUUGAGAAUUUUUGAUACAAAUAUUUACUAGGAAAAAAA
rnacentral:lncRNA from 1 species